rnacentral:rRNA from 1 species
CAUGCAAGUCGAACGCCUGCAGCAAUGCAGGAGUGGCGCACGGGUGAGUAACGCGUGGGAACCUGCCCUUGGGUGCGGGAUAACCCGGCGAAAGCCGGGCUAAUACCGCAUACGUCCUUCGGGAGAAAGAUUUAUCGCCCAAGGAGGGGCCCGCGUCGGAUUAGCUAGUUGGUGAGGUAACGGCUCACCAAGGCGAUGAUCCGUAGCUGGUCUGAGAGGAUGAUCAGCCACACUGGGACUGAGACACGGCCCAGACUCCUACGGGAGGCAGCAGUGGGGAAUAUUGGACAAUGGGGGCAACCCUGAUCCAGCAAUGCCGCGUGAGUGAUGAAGGCCUUAGGGUUGUAAAGCUCUUUCGGCGGGGACGAUGAUGACGGUACCCGCAGAAGAAGCCCCGGCUAACUUCGUGCCAGCAGCCGCGGUAAUACGAAGGGGGCGAGCGUUGUUCGGAAUUACUGGGCGUAAAGGGCGCGCAGGCGGCCCUAGAAGUCAGGCGUGAAAGCCCCGGGCUCAACCUGGGAGGUGCGCUUGAUACUCUGGGGCUGGAGUGCGGGAGAGGAGAGUGGAAUUCCCAGUGUAGAGGUGAAAUUCGUAGAUAUUGGGAAGAAC